UGCCAGUCUGGACCAAAAAGUCCAGGGCCGAACUUUUGUCCUAGUCCAGCUCUGGUAAUGACACACAUUUGUCUGAAUGUUUUUUUGAUGCACCUUGGGCA